UACACGAACGACUCUCGGCAACGGAUAUCUCGGCUCUCGCAUCGAUGAAGAACGUACCGAAUUGCGAUACUUAUUGUGAAUUGCAAAAUCCCGUGAACCAUCGAGUCUUUGAACGCAAGUUGCGCCCGAAGCCACUAGGCCGAGGGCACGUCUGCCUGGG
rnacentral:rRNA from 1 species